GUGGGGAAUAUUGGACAAUGGGCGAAAGCCUGAUCCAGCCAUGCCGCGUGUGUGAAGAAGGUCUUCGGAUUGUAAAGCACUUUAAGUUGGGAGGAAGGGCAGUAAGUUAAUACCUUGCUGUUUUGACGUUACCAACAGAAUAAGCACCGGCUAACUUCGUGCCAGCAGCCGCGGUAAUACGAAGGGUGCAAGCGUUAAUCGGAAUUACUGGGCGUAAAGCGCGCGUAGGUGGUUCAGCAAGUUGAAGGUGAAAUCCCCGGGCUCAACCUGGGAACUGCGUCCAAAACUACUGAGCUAGAGUACGGUAGAGGGUAGUGGAAUUUCCUGUGUAGCGGUGAAAUGCGUAGAUAUAGGAAGGAACACCAGUGGCGAAGGCGACUACCUGGACUGAUACUGACACUGAGGUGCGAAAGCGUGGGGAGCAAACAGGAUUAGAAACCCGAGUAGUCC
rnacentral:rRNA from 1 species